UGCAGUAAGAUUCUUCAUUUUGCUAAGGAUCAUGGGAAAUUACUCCCAUCAUCCUUUGCUGCGAUUUUGAACUGGGAGUCACAGUUGCAAGUCACAGUGCUCCAGCUCUGUAGUUUUUUUGCCUCAGAUGUCCUUUAGUUCUUACAUUAACAGGGAAAAAAUAUGAUGUGUUUCGUAAAGACGAUUUUCUGCAUCAUGUGGGACCUUGCAUACAACGUGGCUAGCUUUUUUAGAGUUUCAAAAUGCUACCGAAGCCAAGGCCAAGCCGGAUGCCCCCCUCCCCCAUGCAGGCUCAGAAACCUACUGGUACAAGGAGGAUGUUCCCAUGAUCCCAUCUCAACUUUGGAAAAGCCCUUAACAAGGAGAAUUCUUCAUUAUAAAUACAGCAACGGCAACAUUGUAGCUCUAAUGGUUUCAGAUAAGGACAAUUAGUUAUAGUUGGCUGCUAGGUACUGUAUCAGGAAAAAAUGUCAAUAAGCAAGCGUAAGUUACAAAAUGGUUGAUUUUUGCAAUCUUUGGUAAGGAAUGAGUAAUCGAGGAAAACACCACAAAACUUGUAUGAAUCAUAUUGAUGAUAAUAAAUAUGAUUGCCAUCAUGU